AAAAAAAAAAAAAAAAAAAAAAAAAAAAAAAAAAAAAAGUAUCGUGAAUUCUAAAUCUUCUGACAUCAUUUACAGGUUUAUUUUAAGUGACUGUUCAGUACCGCACCUCGACGAGCACGGAAUUCCCUAUCUUGGCAUCUCAGGGCUUGGUAGUUCAGAACGUGGAGACAUUCGACGCUGGGACGACUCAAGCCAACGGUACUCAGGGAGUUCCUGAUCCUAUUUAUUAUUAGUUGACACUAUUUCUUUAUCUUAGAAUUGCAUCAAUUAAUUCGUUGUGUGCUGGCCAUUUGAUGAUACUGCCUUAAACCUAUUCGAUUAUAUUUCACGUACUAAACUCCGUUACUCAAUCGUUUACCCUACGUGACUAGACCUAGUAUUUGGACAUUUGCUUUUCUAUUUUAUUAGCAUUAGUAGUAUUUGCUUGCGAUCGGGCCAUAAGUAACCCCAACCUUUAAAUUAACAAAAUAACAAAAAAAAAAAUAAAUAAAUAAAUAAUAAUGAUAAUUUCAAUAACGAAUUUUCGGUUGGCACUAGUUGAUUGUUGAUUAUUGAUCUCAGUAGUGCAUUUUACGUAGUCGUGUUACCGUGUAUGCAAUUGCGUAGUGGUCGCGUUACUGCCUCUAGCUCUAGUAACCUUACCAUGGACCCCGCCCAAAUUGAGGCCCUCACCAGACA
rnacentral:lncRNA from 1 species